rnacentral:lncRNA from 13 species
AUGGGUCCACUAGGAAAUGCAAAGUCCUUCUGCAGGGCCUUAAGGCUCUACCUUGCCCCUGCCUGCCUCUGCAAGGCACCUCCUACCCCGCUUUCCCUUGCUUAUUCUGUUCUAGCAACAUCGGUGGCCCCAUUGCUACUCUUUCAGCACACCAGGCAGGUCUGCCUCGGGGUCUGGCUAUAUAACCUCUGUGUGGAUCACUUUCACCUACAGGGGUCACUUCUUCCUUUGUUCAGGCCUCUGCUCAUACACCACCUUUCCGGAAGACACCACCUUUCCGGAAGACAGACACCACCUUUCCGGAAGACAGACACCACCUUUCCGGAAGACUCCACCUCAUGGACACACUCCAACCCUCCAUUACUCUUCACUCCUCUACCCUACAAACUUUUCCCCAUAGCACUUAGCACUGAUAUAUAGUGUGAUGGUUCAUUUUCCUGUCAAAUUGGCUGGGCCGCAGCACCCAGAUAUUUGGUCGAACAUUCUAGAUGUUUCUAUGAAUGUGCUUUUAAGAUGAAAGUAACAUAUGUAUUAAUAGACUGAGUAAAGCACAUUACCCUCCAUAAUGUAGGUGGGGUUCAUCCAAUCAGGUAAGGGCCUUAAUAGAAAAAGACUGACCUUUCAAGCAAGGAGGAAUUUUUCUAGCAGAUAGCCUGUGGACUCCAACUGCAACAUAAACAGUCUCCAGCCUGCCAGCCUGCCAGCCUGGCAGAUUUUAGACUUCCAGAUCUACACUUCAUGAGCCAAUUUCUUUUUUUGUUGUCAUUUCUUUGAAAUGGAGUUUUACUCUUGUUGCCCAGGCUGGAAUGUAUUGGCGCAAUCUCAGCUCACUGCAACCUCUGCCUCCUGGGUUCAAGUGAUUCUCCUGUCUCAGCCUCCCAUGUAGCUGGAAUUACAGGCACAUGCUAUCACAUCCGGCUAAUUUUUGUGUUUUUAGUAGAGUCAGGGUUUCAUCAUAUUGAUCAGACUGGUCUCAAACUCCUGACCUCAGGUGAUCUACCCACCUCAGCCUCCCAAAGUGCUGGGAUUAUAGGCGUGAGCUACUCUGCUGGCUGAGCCAAAUUCUUAAAAUAAAUCCCUAUCUUUUGAUGGUGUUUCUCGAGAA